UUGUCUCUUACAUUGAGCCGAACCUAUUUUUUUCUUGAAUUUUACAGAAACCAAAGGAGUGGGCUAUUGAUGCUGGAUUUAACCCAACAUAGGAAAAAACACCANAGGUUAAGAGUUUCUUUGCUCCGUUGCUCCCGAGGUGUCAUUUCAAAGGCAAGGACGGUGCCAAGGAGAACAUCUAAGGGGAAACAAGACGCUUCCCACCCUUUUAUGCUUUGUCGUACACAGUACAGCNCUGUAUUAAAGUGCUGCAAGACUAUGUAGAGGAGUGAUUCUCAUUAUUCAGCCAGCUGCUUAUUCACAGCCUUGGAUAUUUAUGAGGGGGGGUUGAUACCUUCGCAAUCAGAGAACCAGCAAUGGAUGCCAAACUUGCUGGUUGGAGAGUUCAGUGCCCAGCUGAGGGGAUUGGAAAGCCCCACUGUCCUCCUCAUGUAGCUGAGGUGAGAAAGCACAAUGCUCUCCCCUUGCCCCACCCUGCCUCAAUAUGGUGUCGCUCAGCCUGUGUCCAAAAAUGAGCCCAAUGCAUGCUGAUCAGUAAGCACCAAGCUCAGCAGCCAGCACCAGAGGCACUCAAACUAGCUGACCAAUGGUAGUAAUUAUUGGGCUCCCUUUGGUUAUCAGGUUCUGGCAAAAAAAGAAAAGAAAGAAAAGCCUUCCCCAGUGGUGGCUACAUCCCCACUCUCCAUGAGUUUUAGGAUUUGUGCAGUAUGGGAAGAUUCUAAGUUCAUAAAUUUGGAGAGAGUGGGAGUCCAAGGGGGGGCAGAGCUCUGCCUUUUCCCAGCAGCCCUUGGUGGAGAGAAGAACUGGAUCUGUUCUGCUUGUGUUCCAGGCAGGGUCUCCUCCUUGCCUUAAGAACAAAAAGAGCCUUUAUGCAUUAGCUGUGCUUCUCAAUGGACAGCAUGAAGCCAGAUUAGACAAAAACUCCUUAUACCAACACUUCUGGGCAUCCAAACAAGACUUAACAGUACAACCGAACACUUCUACAGCUCAAGNCAGAAGGUAAGUAUAUAGACAGUAUUCUGUUUUGUUUUGUAAUACGCUGCAAAUGAUUGAUAUUUAGAAAAGCAGAUUUAGACUGUUAGCACGGACAGUCUAAAAUUAGUGGUGGCCAUACGGUGGCUCUCCAGAUAUUGAACUACAAUUCCCAUAAGUCCCAGCAAUUUGACAGCUGCAGCAAGUGUGACUUCUAAGACUCUAGAGAAGAAGUUCUUAAUUCUUUUAAUGUUUCUUACCUUUGUCUUUACUGAUGGGAAAAAAAACAUUAAGAAACAUGACAUUGUUACUGUUGUAAACAUGAAAAUAAAUAAGAGAGAAGCCUGAUCCA
rnacentral:lncRNA from 1 species